rnacentral:rRNA from 1 species
AUUGAACGCUGGCGGCAGGCCUAACACAUGCAAGUCGAGCGGAUGAAGGGAGCUUGCUCCUGGAUUCAGCGGCGGACGGGUGAGUAAUGCCUAGGAAUCUGCCUGGUAGUGGGGGAUAACGUCCGGAAACGGGCGCUAAUACCGCAUACGUCCUGAGGGAGAAAGUGGGGGAUCUUCGGACCUCACGCUAUCAGAUGAGCCUAGGUCGGAUUAGCUAGUUGGUGGGGUAAAGGCCUACCAAGGCGACGAUCCGUAACUGGUCUGAGAGGAUGAUCAGUCACACUGGAACUGAGACACGGUCCAGACUCCUACGAGAGGCAGCAGUGGGGAAUAUUGGACAAUGGGCGAAAGCCUGAUCCAGCCAGGCCGCGUGUGUGAAGAAGGUCUUCGGAUUGUAAAGCACUUUAAGUUGGGAGGAAGGGCAGUAAGUUAAUACCUUGCUGUUUUGACGUUACCAACAGAAUAAGCACCGGCUAACUUCGUG